GGUCCCAUAGCUCAGUUGGAUAGAGCGGCGGUUUCCUAAACCGCAGGUCGCAGGUUCGAUUCCUGCUGGGAUCA
rnacentral:tRNA from 1 species